AAUAUUGGGACAUAUAAAAAAGACAACUCUGUUCCGCAGAGUAACUGUUGACAUUAUAGUUGCGCAGGCACUUUGUUGACUCUAGAGAACCUCGGGCCAAUCGCACAUCCCCGUGACAGCGACUUUGCAUUUGGAUGUCAUUCAUAUCAACUUUCAAUGCCAGUUUCUCUGCCUACCAUGGUGACCACGGGUAACAGGGAAUCAAGGUUCCAUUCUGUACAGGGACCCUGAGAAACGGCUACCACAUGCAAUGAAGGCAACAGGCGCGCAAAUGAGCCACUCCCUACGUGGGAAGGUAGUGA